AGUCGAGGGGCAUCGGGAGGGAAGCUUGCUUUCCUUGCCGGCGACCGGCGCACGGGUGAGUAACACGUAUGCAACCUGCCCUCUUCAGGGGGACAACCUUCCGAAAGGGAGGCUAAUCCCGCGUAUAUCGGUUUCGGGCAUCCGAGAUCGAGGAAAGAUUCAUCGGAAGAGGAUGGGCAUGCGGCGCAUUAGCUAGACGGCGGGGUAACGGCCCACCGUGGCGACGAUGCGUAGGGGUUCUGAGAGGAAGGUCCCCCACACUGGUACUGAGACACGGACCAGACUCCUACGGGAGGCAGCAGUGAGGAAUAUUGGUCAAUGGGAGAGAUCCUGAACCAGCCAAGCCGCGUGAGGGAAGACGGCCCUAUGGGUUGUAAACCUCUUUUGUCGGAGAACAAAACCCGGGACGUGUCCCGGACUGCGUGUAUCCGAAGAAAAAGCAUCGGCUAACUCCGUGCCAGCAGCCGCGGUAAUACGGAGGAUGCGAGCGUUAUCCGGAUUUAUUGGGUUUAAAGGGUGCGCAGGCGGACUGUUAAGUCAGCGGUAAAAUGUCGGUGCUCAACACCGGCCGGCCGUUGAAACUGGCAGCCUUGAGUGAGCGAGAAGUAUGCGGAAUGCGUGGUGUAGCGGUGAAAUGCAUAGAUAUCACGCAGAACUCCGAUUGCGAAGGCAGCAUACCGGCGCUCAACUGACGCUCAGGCACGAAAGCGUGGGUAUCGAACAGGCUUAGAUACCCUGGUAGUCCACGCAGUAAACGAUGAAUGCUCACUGUCCGGG
rnacentral:rRNA from 1 species